GGUGUAGAAGCACGGUGGCUAGGAAAAACUCCCUAGAAAGGCCAAAACCUAGGAAGAAACCUAGAGAGGAACCAGGCUAUGUGGGGUGGCCAGUCCUCUUCUGGCUGUGCCGGGUGGAGAUUAUAACAGAACAUGGCCAAGAUGUUCAAAUGUUCAUAAAUGACCAGCAUGGUCGAAUAAUAACAAGGCAGAACAGUUGAAACUGGAGCAGCAGUAUGGCCAGGUGGACUGGGGACAGCAAGGAGUCAUCAUGUCAGGUAGUCCUGGGGCAUGGUCCUAGGGCUCAGGUCAGUUGAAACUGGAGCAGCAGCAUGGCCAGGUGGACUGGGGACAGCAAGGAGUCAUCAUGUCAGGUAGUCCUGGGGCAUGGUCCUAGGGCUCAGGUCCUCCGAGAGAGAGAAAGAAAGAGAGAAGGAGAGAAUUAGAGAACGCACACUUAGAUUCACACAGGACACCGAAUAGGACAGGAGAAGUACUCCAGAUAUAACAA